rnacentral:lncRNA from 1 species
GGGUCUUGGAGUUCAUCGCCAUUGGGGCUCUGGCAACGGUCGCCGUGGGCGUCGUGGUCACCACGACCACCAUGGAUCUGCAGCAGCAGGACCAAGCCACCCACCCACGGCCGUCCACCAUGCCUACCAGGCACCUCCAAUGCCGGACUUCGUGGCCCCGCCGGCCUUUGUCGCUCCAUACAUGGAUUGGCAACUGGAAUACACAGGGGGAUCUUCUGUCCUAUGCACAGAUACGGGCCAUGCCCUUCAAACCCGGCCAAUCCAUCACUGGAAUCAGAGAUCGACGGAGGGGACACUUACCUGGAUCUCCCAACACCGACGCCUGCCGACGAAGAGCCCCUUGCGCCUCCAGGCUAUGGCCCUGUUCCGGCCAUGGCCGAGUGGGAGGUGAUCCUGACGGAGACGGCCGAAGCCAGCGCUCCGACGAAAGCGGCCGAAGCCAGCGCACCGACGGAGGCGACCGGAUCCGGCGCCACCAUCCCCGCAUCUCCGCCGCCUUCGCCCCAGACCCGCCCUCGGACGCCACCAGCGGCGGCUCGCCGGAUCCUUCGCCGAUUUGCUGCAGCGUUGGAGCGGCACCGCCCCGGCCUCCGCUCCGGAUCCUGGGCCCACGCUGGCCUCCACCCUUAUCAACGUUAUCUUUGCCUUAUCAACACCCUUAUCAACCUUAUCUUUG